rnacentral:misc_RNA from 1 species
GAUGAAGAACGCAGUGAAAUGCGAUAAGUAAUGUGAAUUGCAGAAUUCAGUGAAUCAUCGAAUCUUUGAACGCACAUUGUGCCCCCUGGUAUUCCGGGGGGCAUGCCUGUUCGAGCGUCAUUUCAACCCUCAAGCUCUGCUUGGUAUUGAGUCCAUGUCAGCAAUGGCAGGCUCCAAAAUCAGUGGCGGCGCCGCUGGGUCCUGAACGUAGUAAUAUCUCUCGUUACAGGUGCUCGGCGUGCUUCUGCCAAAACCCCAAUUUUUCUAUGGUUGACCUCGGAUCAGGUAGGGAUACCCGCUGAACUUAAGCAUAUCAAUAAGCGGAGGA